AUGAUUAGCGCUCGUCUCACACAGGCUUCAUUAUCUGCCUCUGUGUUUCAGAUCACCACAGACAUGACAGCAUGGCUGAAAGUCACGGCAUCAAAGGAAGCGAUAUUAAUGCUGACUUCAAGGUCAGAACAUCAAUUCAGGCUGUUUUGCAAAAUUCCCAGUGAAGGACAGAGGCACGGCUGUGUGUCAGUUACUCAAGCAACAUUACAAAUGAUCACAUGGGCUAUGGGUCAUUUUCGAGGUUCCCGAGUCAAACAGAAAAACCGCGAAUGGAAGAACCAGUGGUCUGAUGCAGAACUCGACACCUUAAUGAGCACAAAAGCUGUACAUCCCGAGCCUGUGAGAUUUUGUCUGGGAUCGAGAUCACAGCCGACCCUCGAGUACAAACAAGAUUCGGCAAGCUGGAGGUUCUGGCUCAGACUGGCGACCCAAAAUUAGGCCGGUUUUGAAAGAACGCGGUCUGGGGUUUGAGACCAACGGUCUUUCUUGGCACGGAUGCCAUCUGUAAUAUUCAGCACAUUUCAUACACGGUUAAUUUCAGCUGGACAGCUUCAGUGCCAAUGAAAAUACAUUCGUUCUCUUUGCCUUCGACACUGGGAGCGAUCCAGGCCUCCCUCUCGAUUCAUGGAAAAGUGCACUGGAAGAGAAGGAGAGAAAGAUUUAAUUUAAAACUGUGGAAAGACACCAUCUAACCUCUCGGUGUUAUAAAUCACAGGAUUGAUGAGGGGAAUGGCUGGAGCCGAACGCAGAAGGCUGAAUCUAUUGUCCAUAUACAUUGGCUUCAGGAAUAUGGAGGCUUGCUUUACAGACGCCUGUUAUUUGAUGACUCAAUGGAGCCGAGGAACAUUUUUUGCUUUGAGCGAGAGAAUUAUAACGGGGGAAAACAACCGCAUACUCAGAUGAAAUGCUCUGCCAGGGACUUUUAUGAAUACCAUUAGAUCUCCCACUUGAUGAAAUCAUGCAUUUUCUCAAGGUAAUAUCCUAAUUAGGCCAAAUGAAGAGUACAAAAGUGUCAUACAUGUUUUUUAUUAAAUGAUUUUAAUUGAGCGCGACUCGUUUAUUUUGCAAUCUAAAUCUGCUCCAAUGAAAUGUGUUUGCUCUGCAUUGAAUUUGCAUGAAUUAAAAUCAUCAGAUGCAGUUCUAGAAGAGAACAAUGAAAGAAAAUCUGGUUUUGAUCCAAUUUAAAAGGACGGACAGGCAAAAUAAAUACCGUUGGUAUCAUUGGUUGAUUUUUAUAUACAUAUUUUCUCAUUCUGGAAAGCUUUUGUUGUUGGGCAAAAACAUUGUAUAGGCCCCUGCAAACAAGAUGUUGUCAUCAAUAUUUUAAAACAAAGACAAAGUUUAAAUUUAAAGAAGUAUAUCUGCAUCCAUUUAUUUAUGAGACAUUCUGUUUAUUUAUUUAUUUAUUUAUUAGGCAUUCACUGCAUUGUUUGUUUGUUUUUUUAACAUUCACUGCAUAUAUUUGGUUGGUUAUUUAUUUAUUUGGCAUUCACUUUAUUUGUUUGUUUUUU
ensembl:lncRNA